UAUUGCACAAUGGGCGAAGGCCUGAUGCAGCGACGCCGCGCGAGUGAAGAAGUAUCUCGGUAUGUAAAGCUCUAUCAGCAGGGAAGAAAACGACGGUACCUGACUAAGAAGCCCCGGCUAACUACGUGCCAGCAGGCGCGGUAAUACGUAGGGGGCAAGCGUUAUCCGGAUUUACCGGGUGUAAAGGGAGCGUAGACGGUUAUGCAAGUCUGGAGUAAAAGCCCGGGGCUCAACCCCGGGACUGCUUUGGAAACUGUAAAACUGGAGUGCAGGAGAGGCAGGCGGAAUUCCUAGUGUAGCGGUGAAAUGCGUAGAUAUUAGGAGGAACACCAGUGGCGAAGGCGGCCUGCUGGACUGUAACUGACGUUGAGGCUCGAAGGCGUGGGGAGCAAA
rnacentral:rRNA from 1 species